UCUCUGUUAGUAUAUCGGUUAGUACACGCGCCUGUCAUUUCUAUGUCCGCGCGAAAGCGGGGUUCGACUCCCCGACAGAGAG